AUUGUGAACUUCAGAAAGUUCUGAGGCAGCUGCGCGAAAUUGGCCAACUACUGUACAGUAUUGUGCGGGAAAUGGGUAGGGUAACACUGCCCUCCUUUGGAGAGAAGAGGCUUGCGCUCUCCAGGAAGCGGGCGGAGGAAGCGCCGUCUCUCUCAGCUGGUUGAAAGCUACCCAGGCGGAUAUAAGGUGUUGCUCCUCCAGCCUGAGUGUGGCUUCAUCGCAGCAUGGACUGAUCGGAACGGGAAUGGGAAGUGGAAUUAAAAUGGGAGCCACUGGGAGAUCCGGCUUUUUCUGGCAGCCAGAGCGUAGGUGCUCAGCGAAGCAGUCUCCCAGUCUACGUCAGGUCUCGCCGAUGUACAGGAUACCAUACCGGGAUCACCAGACACAGUAGAUGACCCCACCAGACUCACAGUUUGUUGUCUGUUGCACACCGAAUGAACGUGUGGUCUUUCAUUGACUCUACUAUGGAAUUAUUGGGAGUGCCUGCAAGAAAAUCAGAUUUAGGGGUGUAUAUGUACUCCGAUGAUAAAUUUACUUUGAACUUUGAACUCUGCAAACCACCACCGAACAGCAGUGCCCAGUUUGUAAGGAGGGGCCACUGCCCAGGCUAGAAAAAGCUGCAGACAGUUGUAAACUCUGCCAGCUCCAUCGUGGGCACAAAGACACCUUCAAAAUCCGGUGCCUCAAGAAGGCAGCGUCUAUCAUAAAGGACACCUGUCACCCAGGACCUGUCACCUCAUUGUUACCAUCAGGGAGGAGGUACAGGAGCCUGAAGAAUCACACUGAACUUCUCAGCAACAAUUUCUUCCUGCACGCCAUCCGAUUUCUGUAUGCACAAUAAACCCACGACAACUACCUCAUUACUCCUUACUGCAAUUUAUCAUUUUAUUAUUAUGUAUUUCAGUGCCCUGCUGCCGCAAAACAACACACUUCACGACAUGUGCCCACGAUGUUGAACCUGAUUCUGGGCAGCACCCUUUCAGAAAGAUGUGAAGACUUUGGAAAUAGAGCAGAAGAAAUUUGCCAGGGACGGAAAACUUCUCUCUUCCGGAAACCUACUGAAAUCUUGGCAACCAGCAAUCCCAAUGACAUUGAGUGCAAAGAGAGUCCCACCUUGCCACAAGUAAUCUUGCUUCCCA